UACGUAGGGCGCAAGCGUUAUCCGGAAUUAUUGGGCGUAAAGAGCGUGUAGGCGGCCAGGUAGGUCUGCUGUGAAAACUCGAGGCUUAACCUCGAGCUGUCGGCGGAAACCAUCUGGCUAGAGUCCGGAAGAGGAGAAUGGAAUUCCCGGUGUAGCGGUGAAAUGCGCAGAUAUCGGGAAGAACACCCGUGGCGAAGGCGGUUCUCUGGGACGGUACUGACGCUGAGACGCGAAAGCGUGGGGAGCGAACAGG
rnacentral:rRNA from 1 species